CUGCGUAAAGCAAACAUCCAUAAUUUCAAUGGGGUAAAACGCGUCGGUAAAGUUGGCGUCUUGGACUGCCGAUUUUGUGAAUGAUAAGACGUGGAAGUUAAGUCAAGCCGGGACGUUGAAAGGUUUGGAAAGCUGCAUCCAGAAAGGCCUCAACAAUGGAAAAAUUGGAUCAGAGCAAGGUUUAGCAGUUGAAAAUUGGGAGGGGGCGGAAGAUUGGGAUGGAUAAAUUCUGUAAUGUCUAGGUAUAGCGAAGGGGAAGGCAAUGCGGAAAAGGAUUUGAGGAAGGAGGCUCAUAGGGAUAGAUGAAUGAUGUUUGGGGGGGGAUAUGAAGGACAUGUGGUAGUUGGAUCAAUUUGCUUCCAAUCUAUUCUAGAGGUUUUCUUGCUUUGUUCCAAAAAUAUGAAAGUGGUGUCCAUGAUUCAUGGCUCCGAUAGAUUCUGAUUCCUCAUAAGAAAUUUUUUUUUCUUUGCGUUUCUUCGCUAUGUUACCCAAGUUUUGGGCUGCUUUAAGCGACAUUGGAUUGGCUCAGCUCAGAUGCCAAGCAAGUAAUAGUAAGAGAGAGAGACAUUCAAGGCGGAUUCCACUAUCCAUCAGAGAAGGUGGGAUAAUGGGGUGGUAUGAAGAUGAAAUGAUUUCUUUAAGCGGAGUGGAUGGAUAUUUUGAAAGAAUUGCUAAUUGUUUUACUUUGUGAUGUGUAAAAUUGCAAUUUCUGUGAUGGCAUCGCUAACUCCAUCGAUAUCGCUGAUUCCAUCAGCACUCGAAAUGGCGAGCAAGCUUGCGCAACUUGCGAAGGCAAAGAUGUAGGAUGAAAGUAGCGAUAUUAUUGAUGAAUACAGUUGUUGGGCAGGAAAUAUGAUGGGCGAUGCGAUGAAAAGACGCGAAUGGUUAAGAAUUUGAAGAGUGAAAAAAUAAAAGUAAAAUAAAAUUAAUACAUUAAAUCAAAAGCAAAAAAU